UCUUUUUCUCUCUCUCUUUCCGUAAACUGCAGCUUGUCAGAACAGGAGUUUGAGGACAAGGCCGGUGUAAUUUUGCAAAGGAUCUCCAGGCUGAAGCAGGACAGGGCCGCUGUUUGUAUCCCGCAGCAGGGCGCAGCAGGAGAAGGCAAGAUCAGUCCCGACACUGGCACGCUCGCAGGGGUCAGAGGUCGUGCUAGUUCACUUUCCAAAAACACCAAAGAGGAGAAAGCAGCUCUACUGUAUGAGCUGCUGACAGUCAGGGAGGAGAUGUCAGAGAUGUGUGGGAAUCUCCGGCUCCUGGAGAAAGAGAGGUGGUGUUUGGACCUGGCGCUGAUGGUCCAGAGUGCCCAGGAUUCUGCUGGUGCUCUGAUCCUGGACAGUCUGCGAGAUGAGCUGGGGGAGAGGAGAGCCACCCAGCAGCUUGUCACUCUAUCGGAAUCACUUAUUCGGAAUCACUCUAUCCUAAGAGAACUACAAGCAACACUGCAAAGGGAACAGUCACUGAGGAAGAGAGUGGCAGCUUUACGUGAGUCGCUGGACUCGGCGCUCGCAGACAGCACCACAGAACUGAAAAGUGAUAUGCCUGGUUUUGUUUGUAGAGAAUUGCUGAAAAUCUGGUAA
rnacentral:lncRNA from 1 species